rnacentral:rRNA from 1 species
UUAAAUUGAAGAGUUUGAUCAUGGCUCAGAUUGAACGCUGGCGGCAGGCCUAACACAUGCAAGUCGAACGGUAACAGGAAGCAGCUUGCUGCUUUGCUGACGAGUGGCGGACGGGUGAGUAAUGUCUGGGAAACUGCCUGAUGGAGGGGGAUAACUACUGGAAACGGUGGCUAAUACCGCAUAACGUCGCAAGACCAAAGAGGGGGACCUUCGGGCCUCUUGCCAUCAGAUGUGCCCAGAUGGGAUUAGCUUGUUGGUGAGGUAACGGCUCACCAAGGCGACGAUCCCUAGCUGGUCUGAGAGGAUGACCAGCCACACUGGAACUGAGACACGGUCCAGACUCCUACGGGAGGCAGCAGUGGGGAAUAUUGCACAAUGGGCGCAAGCCUGAUGCAGCCAUGCCGCGUGUAUGAAGAAGGCCUUCGGGUUGUAAAGUACUUUCAGCGGGGAGGAAGGUGUUGCGGUUAAUAACCACAGCAAUUGACGUUACCCGCAGAAGAAGCACCGGCUAACUCCGUGCCAGCAGCCGCGGUAAUACGGAGGGUGCAAGCGUUAAUCGGAAUUACUGGGCGUAAAGCGCACGCAGGCGGUCUGUCAAGUCGGAUGUGAAAUCCCCGGGCUCAACCUGGGAACUGCAUUCGAAACUGGCAGGCUUGAGUCUUGUAGAGGGGGGUAGAAUUCCAGGUGUAGCGGUGAAAUGCGUAGAGAUCUGGAGGAAUACCGGUGGCGAAGGCGGCCCCCUGGACAAAGACUGACGCUCAGGUGCGAAAGCGUGGGGAGCAAACAGGAUUAGAUACCCUGGUAGUCCACGCCGUAAACGAUGUCUACUUGGAGGUUGUGCCCUUGAGGCGUGGCUUCCGGAGCUAACGCGUUAAGUAGACCGCCUGGGGAGUACGGCCGCAAGGUUAAAACUCAAAUGAAUUGACGGGGGCCCGCACAAGCGGUGGAGCAUGUGGUUUAAUUCGAUGCAACGCGAAGAACCUUACCUGGUCUUGACAUCCACGGAAGUUUUCAGAGAUGAGAAUGUGCCUUCGGGAACCGUGAGACAGGUGCUGCAUGGCUGUCGUCAGCUCGUGUUGUGAAAUGUUGGGUUAAGUCCCGCAACGAGCGCAACCCUUAUCCUUUGUUGCCAGCGAUUAGGUCGGGAACUCAAAGGAGACUGCCAGUGAUAAACUGGAGGAAGGUGGGGAUGACGUCAAGUCAUCAUGGCCCUUACGACCAGGGCUACACACGUGCUACAAUGGCGCAUACAAAGAGAAGCGACCUCGCGAGAGCAAGCGGACCUCAUAAAGUGCGUCGUAGUCCGGAUUGGAGUCUGCAACUCGACUCCAUGAAGUCGGAAUCGCUAGUAAUCGUGGAUCAGAAUGCCACGGUGAAUACGUUCCCGGGCCUUGUACACACCGCCCGUCACACCAUGGGAGUGGGUUGCAAAAGAAGUAGGUAGCUUAACCUUCGGGAGGGCGCUUACCACUUUGUGAUUCAUGACUGGGGUGAAGUCGUAACAAGGUAACCGUAGGGGAACCUGCGGUUGGAUCACCUCCUUACCUGAAAGAAGC